UGAGUACGAGAGGCUACGGCCUCGAAGCAGUCUAUGUCAUACUUCCAAGAAAAGCUUGCAAUGUCAUAAACAAAUAAUGCCUGUACCAUAACCGACACAGGUGGGUAGGUAGAGUAUACUAAGGGGCGCGAGAUAACUCUCUCUAAGGAACUCGGCAAAAUGACUCCGCAACUUCGGGAGAAGGAGCGCCUUAUUUAUAAGGUUGCAAUAACAAGAUCCAAGCAACUGUUUACCAAAAACACAGGUCUCCGCUAAGUCGUAAGACGAUGUAUGGGGGCUGACGCCUGCCCAGUGCCAGAAGGUUAAAGAAGUUGGUUAGCAUUCGCGAAGCUGAUAACUGAAGCCCUGGUGAACGGCGGCCGUAACUAUAACGGUCCUAAGGUAGCGAAAUUCCCUGUCGGGUAAGUUCCGACCCGCACGAAAGGCGUAAUGAUUUGGAUACUGUCUCGGAGAGAGGCUCGGUGAAAUAGACUUGUCUGUGAAGAUGCGGACUACCUGCACCUGGACAGAAAGACCCUAUGAAGCUUUACUAACUUGAAAUUGAAAUUGGACUUUAUUUGCGCAGUAUAGGUGGGAGGCGUUGAUAGUAUUCUUGCGGGAACAUUGGAGCCAUCAGUGAGAUACCACUCUUGUAAUGUUAGAUUUCUAACUUUGUAUCAUUAUCUGGUCAAAGGACAGUUUCAGGCGGGCAGUUUGACUGGGGCGGUCGCCUCCCAAACGGUAACGGAGGCGUACAAAGGUUUCCUCUGAACGGGUAGAAAUGUAUCUAGAGUGUAAAGGCAUAAGGAAGCUUGACUGUGAGACCUACAAGUCGAGCAGGGACGAAAGUCGGUCUUAGUGAUCUGACGGUGCUGAGUGGAAAGGCCGUCACUCAACGGAUAAAAGUUACUCUAAGGAUAACAGGCUGAUCUCCCCCAAGAGUUCACAUCGACGGGGAGGUUUGGCACCUCGAUGUCGGCUCAUCGCAUCCUGGGGCGGUGGUACGUCCCAAGGGUUGGGCUGUUCGCCCAUGAAAGCGGUACGCGAGCUGGGUUCAGAACGUCGUGAGACAGUUCGGUCCAUAUCCGGUGUAGGCGUUAGAAUAUUGAGAGGAGCCUUCUUUAGUACGAGAGGACCGAGAAGGACAUACCUCUGGUGUACCAGUUAUCGUGCCAACGGUAAACGCUGGGUAGCUAUGUAUGGAGAGGAUAACCGCUGAAAGCAUCUAAGAGGGAAGCCCACCUCAAGAUAAG
rnacentral:rRNA from 1 species